AAGACUCUCGGCAACGGAUAUCUCGGCUCUCGCAUCGAUGAAGAACGUAGCGAACUGCGAUACUUGGUGUGAAUUGCAGAAUCCCGUGAACCAUCGAGUCUUUGAACCCAAGUUGCGCCCGAAGCCAUUAGGCCGAGGGCCAGUCUGCCUGGGCGUCCCGCA
rnacentral:rRNA from 1 species